CGUACAAGCAGUAGGAGCCCUUCGAGGGUGACUGCGUACCUUUUGUAUAAUGGGUCAGCGACUUAUAUUUUGUAGCGAGGUUAACCGAUUAGGGUAGCCGUAGGGAAACCGAGUCUUAACUGGGCGCGUAGUUGCAAGGUAUAGACCCGAAACCCGGUGAUCUAGCCAUGGGCAGGUUGAAGGUUGAGUAACAUCAACUGGAGGACCGAACCCACUAACGUUGAAAAGUUAGGGGAUGACCUGUGGCUAGGAGUG
rnacentral:rRNA from 1 species